rnacentral:rRNA from 1 species
AGUGAAUAGAUACCCUGGUAGUCCCAGCUGUAAACGAUGCGCGUUAGGUGUAUCGGUGACCACGAGUCACCGAGGUGCCGAAGGGAAACCGUGAAACGUGCCGCCUGGGAAGUACGGUCGCAAGGCUGAAACUUAAAGGAAUUGGCGGGGGAGCACCACAACAGGUGGAGCCUGCGGUUUAAUCGGACUCAACGCCGGGAAGCUCACCGGAUAAGACAGCUGAAUGAUAGCCGGGUUGAAGACUCUGCUUGACUAGCUGAGAGGAGGUGCAUGGCCGUCGUCAGUUCGUACUGUGAAGCAUCCUGUUAAGUCAGGCAACGAGCGAGACCCACGCCAACAGUUGCCAGCAUGUCCUCCGGGAUGGUGGGGACACUGUUGGGACCGCCUCUGCUAAAGAGGAGGAAGGAAUGGGCAACGGUAGGUCAGCAUGCCCCGAAUUAUCCGGGCUACACGCGGGCUACAAUGGUCAGGACAAUGGGUAUCAACACCGAAAGGUGAAGGCAAUCUCCUAAA